GAUGAACGCUGGCGGCGUGCCUAAUACAUGCAAGUCGAGCGAACGGACGAGAAGCUUGCUUCUCUGAUGUUAGCGGCGGACGGGUGAGUAACACGUGGAUAACCUACCUAUAAGACUGGGAUAACUUCGGGAAACCGGAGCUAAUACCGGAUAAUAUUUUGAACCGCAUGGUUCAAAAGUGAAAGACGGUCUUGCUGUCACUUAUAGAUGGAUCCGCGCUGCAUUAGCUAGUUGGUAAGGUAACGGCUUACCAAGGCAACGAUGCAUAGCCGACCUGAGAGGGGUGUCGGCCACACUGGGAAUUAGACACCGUCCAGACUCCUACGGGAGGCAGCCGUAGGGGAUCUUCCGCAAUGGGCGAAAGCCUGACGGAGCAACGCCGCGUGGGUGGUGGAGGUCUUCGGAUCGUAAAACUCUGUUAUUAGGGAAGAAAAUAUGUGUAAGUAACUGGGCACAUCUUGACGGUACCUAAUCAGAAAGCCACGGCUAACUACGUGC
rnacentral:rRNA from 1 species